GAUGUCGAUUUAGAGGUUGUGGUCUUGAACCGUGGCUUCUGGAGCUAACGCGUUAAAUCGACCGCCUGGGGAGUACGGCCGCAAGGUUAAAACUCAAAUGAAUUGACGGGGGCCCGCACAAGCGGUGGAGCAUGUGGUUUAAUUCGAUGCAACGCGAAGAACCUUACCUACUCUUGACAUCCAGCGAAUCCUUUAGAGAUAGAGGAGUGCCUUCGGGAACGCUGAGACAGGUGCUGCAUGGCUGUCGUCAGCUCGUGUUGUGAAAUGUUGGGUUAAGUCCCGCAACGAGCGCAACCCUUAUCCUUUGUUGCCAGCGCGUGAUGGCGGGAACUCAAAGGAGACUGCCGGUGAUAAACCGGAGGAAGGUGGGGAUGACGUCAAGUCAUCAUGGCCCUUACGAGUAGGGCUACACACGUGCUACAAUGGCAGAUACAAAGAGAAGCGACCUCGCGAGAGCAAGCGGAACUCAUAAAGUCUGUCGUAGUCCGGAUUGGAGUCUGCAACUCGACUCCAUGAAGUCGGAAUCGCUAGUAAUCGUAGAUCAGAAUGCUACGGUGAAUACGUUCCCGGGCCUUGUACACACCGCCCGUCACACCAUGGGAGUGGGUUGCAAAAGAAGUAGGUAGCUUAACCUUCGGGAGGGCGCUUACCACUUUGUGAUUCAUGACUGGGGUGAAG
rnacentral:rRNA from 1 species